rnacentral:rRNA from 1 species
UACGGGGGGGGCAAGCGUUGUUCGGAAUUACUGGGCGUAAAGGGCGUGUAGGCGGUCAAGUAAGUGGGAUGUGAAAUCCCCCGGCUUACCCGGGGACCGGCAUCCCAUACUGCUUGGCUUGAGUACGGGAGAGGAUGUGGGAAUUCCUGGUGUAGCGGUGAAAUGCGUAGAUAUCAGGAGGAACACCGGUGGCGAAGGCGCACAUCUGGCCCGAUACUGACGCUAAAGCGCGAAAGCUAGGGGAGCAAACGGG